UAAACUCAUAGUUGUAUGGAGUUGGUACGUUUGCUUACGUUUGCCGCUAGGGGCGCUGUUCCAACUGCAUACAAAGUUGAGUUA
rnacentral:pre_miRNA from 1 species